rnacentral:rRNA from 1 species
UACGAAGGGGGCUAGCGUUGCUCGGAAUCACUGGGCGUAAAGCGCACGUAGGCGGAUUGUUAAGUCAGGGGUGAAAUCCUGGAGCUCAACUCCAGAACUGCCUUUGAUACUGGCGAUCUCGAGUCCGGGAGAGGUGAGUGGAACUGCGAGUGUAGAGGUGAAAUUCGUAGAUAUUCGCAAGAACACCAGUGGCGAAGGCGGCUCUCUGGUACGUGACUGACGCUGAGACGCGAAAGCGUGGGGAGCGAACAGG